CAGAGCUUUAAACCUUGAUCUCACUUCCUUAACCUAUUUGUAUUUCCCAGUGAUGGAAAAUAGUCAAAACAAACAACUAUACAAGCACCGCCUCCAAAAACCAUGAUAACAAAAAACGGAAACAAACUGAAACCCUUUGACCGAAAAGGCAAAAGGCAAAGCAGAACAAAACAAAACCGAGAUGCUUAUCUAUAUGGUGCAGUCUACCUAAAUUCAAAAUCUGUUUCUUUUGUGGCUCAUACGGAUUCUUUGUUGAAGUACUUUCAGUGCAAAGCUGAACCAAACGAAAGUGGAGUAAAUGCUCAUGACCAUUAUUUCCCAUGAAAUUACUGCUGGCUUCAAAGCUUUUACCACCUCACCUUUCUGGAGAACUUGAGUUCUAAUAGUGUCACAUCGCAGGACCUCUCGUGCCGUUUCUGGAAUCUGAAAUUGACCUGGACAUCUGAGUUCAUGAAAACAAAAGGAAGACAAAUCUCCUUAUUGACCGAAAAUUACACUAACAAUUCAACAGACGAGCUUCAACAGAUGAUGAGCAAAGUUGCUAAUUAAUAAACUGUGGAGUUUAAAAAAUAGAGGGGACUAUAAAUUAAAAAUCGAGCUACAUUCCUGACUUUGUACAUGACCAUGAGAAUGUCAAGUCUCAACUAUCCUCAGAAUUAUUGAGGAGAAAGGCCAAUGACCACAUCAAAAUAUAGUUCUUUGAGACUUUCAUCUAAACAAGAAGAAACACGUGAACUACAAUGGUCAAUAUGAGGAACAAAGACUGAUGGAAGAGGAAGCAAAAAGGCAAUGGAGGAAAUAAUUUAGGAAAUUAUGGUAUAAAAAAUAGAAAAGAGAGGUAGAAAGGAAUUAUUCAAGAAAAUAUAAAA